CUACGGGUGGCACCAGUGGGGAAUAUUGCACAAUGGGCGAAAGCCUGAUGCAGCGACGCCGCGUGAGGGAUGACGGCCUUCGGGUUGUAAACCUCUUUCAGCAGGGAAGAAGCUUUUGUGACGGUACCUGCAGAAGAAGCACCGGCUAACUACGUGCCAGCAGCCGCGGUAAUACGUAGGGUGCGAGCGUUGUCCGGAAUUAUUGGGCGUAAAGAGCUUGUAGGCGGUUUGUCGCGUCUGCUGUGAAAAUUCAGGGCUUAACCCUGGACGUGCAGUGGGUACGGGCAGACUAGAGUAUGGUAGGGGAGACUGGAAUUCCUGGUGUAGCGGUGGAAUGCGCAGAUAUCAGGAGGAACACCGAUGGCGAAGGCAGGUCUCUGGGCCAUUACUGACGCUGAGAAGCGAAAGCAUGGGGAGCGAACAGGAUUAGAUACCCUGGUAGUC
rnacentral:rRNA from 1 species